CAGAACUUGGCUUGUCACCAUCACUGUUUUCUCUCAAACAGUGUUUCAAAAGCAUUCUGACAGUAAACCCAUUUGGUGAUUGUUCUGAGCACAGGAAGAAUUCUUGCCAGACUUCUGAUAUACAGGUAAACUGCUGUAUGACUUACUGGAUGGACAGUGGACUGAGAAUCAAGAGGUAUGUGUUCUGCUCUUUGCUGCUGACUCCUGGGACACUCUGUAUCUUCAUAUCCCCAUAAGGCUGGUUCCCCCCCCCAACUCCAGGAUCAGCUGGUAGCAGGUCCAGAGAUUAAUUUGGCUAAGGAGGUGUUCCUUUGUGAGAGCCAACACAAGAUGUGCUGCUCUGAAGUGGGCAGCAUGCAGAAGAGCUGGCACUGUACAUCCCAUGACAGCAGCAACCUCUGUAGGCAGUUGUGUUCCCCAGAACCUUUGGCUCUUCAUCCAGCUGCCUGUUGAAGUCAUCUGCAUGCAAGUUACGUUUCCUUAUCCUGUUGGGCCACAUUCAGCAAUGACUUCACCUGGAAGUAAGGAGUUAGAGCAGUGAGAUUCCCAAAAGAAGCCUUCUCUGUUGUAAUGGUUGCUGGAAGCCCUGAGGUGAUCAUUU
rnacentral:lncRNA from 14 species